rnacentral:tRNA from 1 species
GCCCGGGUGGCGAAAUUGGUUAUACGCGAUCGACUUAAGAUCGAUUGCCGCAAGGCGUGUGGGUUCGAGUCCCACCCUGGGC